UAAACCCUCUCUUUGGGCUCGUUUAUACCAGUAUAAAUCUUAAGUACCUCCUGUGAUGCUGGUAGACCAGGUACCAGCUCUUGCUAAGGCUGUAGACAUCAGCUGAGCAGAGAUAAAUUCAUGGCUGGAAACCAGACCAGCUCACCUGUAGACAGGAGGAGUGGCUUACCCAGCCCAUCAAGAAGGAGUAUCAAAACUAAGUGGGCCAUUGUGAAACAUCAUGAUACAAAGAGUGGGCUAGGCCCUCUCACAGCAGUAAAGGUGCUAUGUGCAAGCAAGCUUGUCCCAUCAACUUGAAUUCUGGAAGAAAGAAACAAAGAUUGCUGAAAAUGAAAAUUCCUCAUCUCUUUGCUGUUUGGACUCUCUCGCAGGGCUGGAGCUAGGAAACAAAAGGAGAGAUCCCCUGGGUUAGCCCUAAAACACUAAUUGCUGACAGAUUACUACAUCUCUUUCACCUUUUGGAACCAUAGACUGUAAGUCAUUUGUACUGUAUGUUGCCUGCUUUAACCUGUAAAUAACUCUCAUUUCUUUUUCCUAGUUAAUAAACCUUUAGUUAGUUUAUUACA